rnacentral:snRNA from 1 species
AUCGCUUCUCGGCCUUUUGGCUAAGAUCAAGUGUAGUAUCUGUUCUUAUCAGUUUAAUACUAGAGGCCCGGUGCACGAAAUUCGUGCACUGGAGAGUGGGGUUCCCUUA